rnacentral:rRNA from 1 species
GAUGAACGCUGGCGGCGUGCUUAACACAUGCAAGUCGAACGGAAAGGCUCCUGCUUGCAGGGGUACUCGAGUGGCGAACGGGUGAGUAACACGUGGGUGAUCUGCCCUGCACUUCGGGAUAAGCCUGGGAAACUGGGUCUAAUACCGGAUAGGACGAUGGUUUGGAUGCCAUUGUGGAAAGUUUUUUCGGUGUGGGAUGAGCUCGCGGCCUAUCAGCUUGUUGGUGGGGUAAUGGCUACCAAGGCGUCGACGGGUAGCCGGCCUGAGAGGGUGUACGGCCACAUUGGGACUGAGAUACGGCCCAGACUCCUACGGGAGGCAGCAGUGGGGAAUAUUGCACAAUGGGCGCAAGCCUGAUGCAGCGACGCCGCGUGGGGGAUGACGGCCUUCGGGUUGUAAACUCCUUUCGCUAGGGACGAAGCGCAAGUGACGGUACCUGGAGAAGAAGCACCGGCUAACUACGUG